rnacentral:lncRNA from 1 species
GGGGUGCGAGGUCGCUACCAGAGUCAAUGGCAGUGCUGGCCAGGCUGUUUUUACACCAAAGUCCUUUAUGUUUAUGGUUUUGUAAAUCCAAUGUGAUCAGUAUAUUGCUUAGGCCUUGUUUAGAUUUUUUUUUGGAUUUUGAUACUGUAGUAUUUUCUUUAGUAAUUAUUAUCUAAUCGUAGACUAACUAAGUUUAAAAGAUUCAUGUCGUAAAUUACAGGCAAACUAUAUAAUUAGUUAUUUUUUAUUUAUAUUUAAUGCUUCAUGCAUAUACCACAAGAUGAGAAAUCUUAAAAAGUUUUUUGAUUUUGGGGUGAACUAACUGGGCCCUAUUUAUUUAUUGCACUGAUAAACUUGAAUUACACAAAGUCCCAAAAGAUUGCACUCAGUAGAUAUUCCAGUGCACACAAUUGCAUACAACCAGGAUAGACCCGGGGCCCGACGACCGCUGCGACCCUGAAUCUAACAAGCGUGGGGAAGUAGUGAAGGACAUUGCACGUCUACACCACAACUGCGUCUCAUGUCUAUAUAACUUUUAUUAGUAGGCUUUACUAAAUCAAUCACUCGAUUUGCUACUUCUUAAGUCUCACAGAGUGAUAGGCAUAUGGUAGAAACUUAUAGACUUGUUUGUUUUCCAGCUGACAACAUUUUUUUAAAAAAUGCUUUGUUUAUAUAAGGUUGAUAUUCCAACAUAUUUGCUUCAUCUUGUUAAGACUAAGGAAACCUUAGCACAAACUUUUGAGUUAUUGACGUGUUCAUGAUGUAAUUCACAUGAGUGGUCAAUAUAUUUAUGUAAACUUAAUUAUUCACCAUUGUUAUAUUCGCCUAGGCUCUAGAAAAUUUCUAGGUCCGUCACUGCAUGGAACACUUUGUGCCUAACUAAUACAAAGGACAUCAAGACCUAGAGGUAAUAUUGGAUGCUUCUAGGAAAUAUGAUUCUCAAACAUGUACAGACUCAUUAAGUUUACUUCAUAUAUCCAUUAAUACAAUGUAUAUUCUAAGGUGCUAUGACUAUUUUGUUUCGAGGAAAUUUGGUCUUAAUUGACCUUUCGAGUUACUUUUUUGGUCUUUUCUUAAUUUGGGUAUUUAGAAAUUUAGAGUAAAAAUUAGCAUAGAGAAUGCAUCUCACUACAAACUCUGCCACACAUCAUCUGUUAGGGUGUUAUGGUGCUUACACCAAACACUAACACAUCACCAUUUGUUAAGCCAUUGUUUUGUUUUAUUGGUUGGUUGUUCAAACUUGAUACAAUCCUAUGGCCUAUUGUCUCACGUGAAUUUGCUUAGGAAUUAUUAGAUAAAGAAUUUUACUUGAAAUCCCAUAGUUUCUUCUACAAGACCAAAUAUUUUUGUAGAGAACUGAUAAAUAGACACAUUUGUUUGUAUAUAACUUUGUCUAAAAAUGGUUUUGGUUUUAUAACAGUUUGUAUGGUUGAUCUAUACUCUGUCUAACUCAACUAGUUAUUUCUAUCUUUAUUCCCUUCUGCAGAUUCAUAUCUUUGUAUAAUUGAAGAUUUUAUUAACAUAUUCAAGAACAAAUAUUAAGUUGAUACAAAGUCUUCGGAGGAAAACUUGAUCUGUGCACGUCCCAUAAAUUGCUCAAGUAAAACUAGUUUGCCAAGAGAUCAUGGCCUGCACUUCUCUAAAAAAGUAUCAUCUUCUAGUGAUACUCAGUGCUUGAUAAACCCCAAGCUCACUGGGCUGAAGUUAGUGUAGAUUAAAGUGGGCCAUGGCCCUCCUAACCUAGAAAUUUUAUUAAAAAAACACUGGAUUCCACCACUUAAGUGCUGAUGAAUGGAUAAUCUAGCCCUCUCUAUUGGUAACUCAAGUUUGAUUGGCCCCCUCUCAGUUUUGCUUUAAGCUUCCGUGAGUUAUUUUUUGCUUUAAGAUCCUAAAUGACUCACGGAAGCUUGCAAAAUAUAUGCCGGUGCAAAACUGCAGAUAGAGUAAGCAAAACAUUUAAAACGAAAAUAGAACAGUUGUUUCUUCUAACUCGCAUUCACGGGAUGUAAACAUGCAUUGACAGUCACCCAAAAUAACAUGCAUUGACACUCACCCAAAAUAGUUGAGUAUUGUCCCUUGGUACAAAAAUAAAGUAAUUUAGCAAUUAAUCUAAUGAUACUUAUUAUAUGCACUAUAUAUAUAUAUAUAUUUGGUCAAAGUUAAAACUGUUUAACUUCUUACAAAGUAAGAAUGACACUUUUUGCGUGAUGGAGAGAGUAUAUGAGUAUGUGUAUAGAAUGGAGUUCAAACUAUUUGUACUAGGAAAAGAUUGUUGUUAAUUCAGUACCAGUUUUGAGUCCAAUUUGGUCACAGUGACAAUGCAACAGCACAAUAGGUCUCGAGGUGUUUAGUGCAAAAGAAAAAGGUUGACGGUUGACGCACCGGUACGCCAAAAGAGACAUGAGGUGCACUAUAAUUCGGAGCGAGUAAACGUGUUGCUCUCAAUUAAUUUAUUAGGUCAGUCACUAUUGCUUAGUGUUUACGGCCUCUUCUUCUUUUGUUUGGCGUAGUUGCACUAGAAAAAAAAACAUAAAUAAAAGGAUAAGAAAGAAGAAAGAAUGACAUGUUUUCACUAAGAAUGUCAUGUUCUGUGAUACUACAGUAAUCACCAUUCCUCGCUAAAACAUUCCAUCGUAGCAAGCCAUGUUAAUUUACAGAAUACAGUAACCGCCAGUUAAAACCCCUCAUUCUGUGCCUUACACCAUCCUGUUCGUUCACAACAAAUCAGCAGACAGUACUUUCAGCCAUGACUUAUAACUGCUGUCAUUAGUCAGCAUCACCGUCACUGCGUACUCUGAGACAAAGAUGGGCUUUCACAGGCUUGUGGUCGGAGCUCCGAACACAGUCGAGGGACUCAUAUGAGCUCAAGACUGCAUCCAAGCCUGAAGAAUGGCCAACCUUGAACAAUAUCCUGUCUGUCCAAGAAGGCACCCUUAUCUGCACAAGUGAAGAUCACAAAUUUACAAACACAAAACGUCAGGUUUGAGAAGCUUCCAUAGGUUCAUAUUCAUAUCUGCAAGUGAUGUUCGUUCAGUCAAGAUACCUUAGAGCUUGUGUCGUAGAUGCUACUCCCGACAUCAUAUUUGUACGUUGGCUUAAACGACAGGGUCCCUUCGCAGUACCCGUUGAACACUUCGCCCUUUUCAGCUUCUUGCAGAAGCUGGUCUUUGCCUCUUAGCUUCUGAUGAAAGAACAAAAUAAUUAGAAAAACAUGAGACACUGAUUACAGUACAAAAAUAGUGACCUGAUGUCAACAAGCACUUACACUCUGACGGUUCUCCUCAAUCAUCUUCCGUGCAGGCAUCGAGCUUAUUCCUUCGAGUCUAUAAUUGAGAUCGCCGAGCCACACUGUUAUGUCGGCAGAUUGGGCGUAUGGUGUGCCAUACUUGGAGAAGAGCGACUGUGAAAUAUGCUGGAAUUCUGAGUUCCUCUUCUCCACCUUGUGUUCAUGUGCUGCACUUCAGUUACAUACAUCUUGUUACUUCGAAAUGGCACUUGGUUAAAGUUAACGGCUAUAUCAACGCUACAAGUGACACUGAUAGAUGAAAGUAUAAACCGAUGAUUGAAAAUUAACCUGCAAGAUGACAGGACACAAAAACCAUCCGGAUCCCACUGAAGUUGAUGUACAUGGCCACUGCUCCUUUCUUUCUCCCAAUGAUACCACCGCAACCUCCAACCGCAUGUUUGUCCACCUUCAUCUCUAUCCAAAAUGAAGAAAUGAACAGAUUAAUUUGACUGACGAAGAAAGAUGCAGUUGGAACUAUAAGCAAUCAAGAAAAUUUGGGAUAAUAAAUAAACAGAUAUAAAAGGAUAAACAAGGUUCACAGUCACCUCUGAUGUACUUCUCCGAACUCCUUGAACCGAAAAGAAGCAUCUGAAGAGACUGCAUGCUCUUCUGACCCAAUAGCCUGAAAUUUCAAGGGCAUCAAACUUUUUCAGAAUAUUGUGAAAAGCUCUGAGAUGUUCAAUGGAGAAGACGAGAGUAGAGAUGUAGUCCUUACACGUGCGUCUCGGCCAACGCCUCCUGCAGAACUUGUGAAACAUCUGAUUUUGGGGCUUCCUGCAGCCCAACAACUAGCAAAUCGAACUUUCUGUUGGAGCUCACCAAUUUCGUUACAUCUUCCACAGACAUCUUCACCAACAGAACACAUAUCAAGUCAAUGUAAACUGCAUUAAAAAAAGUCAUUGUAAAUGGCUUAAUUAUCAUCGAAGGGAAAUGGAUGGAGUCACAAAUAUAUGUACCUUGCUAUUCAUGUUCCAUGUGACGAUGCAAAUGCAGAGCACAGAGUUGGUGGUGAAUUCACAGACUUUCUGAACUGGAAUUGUCUUUAUUCCUUCAUGAGUUCCAUCCUCAUCAAUCGAAACCAUGCCAUUAUUGAGUAGCUUGCUUCCCCUGCGUUGUUUAUGCGUGUAUCAAUGAUGAAAUGCAAAAGAAUCAUACCAAUUGAAAAGAAAAGGUUACAAAGUUUAGAGAUGAGAUACCAUUUUGGAAGAGUAAAGCUGCUGCAGUUGCCCAUGCCGACUCACUGAAACUGAACCCUUGUUUCUGAUCAUCUAACAUGGAGAAGAUAACAAAGGAGCCCUUUUUAUACAACUGCAUUCUGAAAGGUCAAGGGUUCCAGCAACAAGGAGAACCAAUCUGAUUUGGAUAUGGAUACUAUUGGCCUCCAAUUUUCUUUCAGCGUUCAUUUGUAUCUUCCAUGUGCUCUAAAAAAAAAAUUUCAACGCGUUACGAAACAGCGACAAGUGGAACACCCAAGAACCAACCAUUUGGGCCAGCUGGAUUUGAUAGUUAGGUACGGAGUACUGCAUAUCUUUGAUGUGACAAUGACUGAGAUCUCAUUUGUCUUCCCAUCAGUUCCCAUCUUUAGAAGGCGGCUACAGCAGUCCAUGUAUUAUGGGGAAUGUGAAAGAGACUGCAUAGAGGAAUAGGACCGCGAACUUGCUCUAUCUGUAGUUUGGCACGUUUAAUUUAGUGAUGAAGUGAUGACAGGGCAAUGCAACAUUUCCUGAGCAAGUAGCCUUCCUUUGCUGGAGUUGUAAUGGAGAAGUUCCACUCAGGAACAUGCUGGACCUUCCUGAAGUUUCGCACAUCCACAAAAUUCAACAACUAGGUGAUGACCUUUGUAAAUCGUAUGUACUCUUAACAGUUAAAUAAUGAACUGCAACACUGUAAGUGACAUCUUCUCUACACUUAACAUUUUGAUACCGGUGCAGCGCGCUGUUAGGUCACUAACCUGUGCCAGAUGGACGGAAUUGCAAUCUGCAUCAUCUUUUCAAUACAGAAUCUCCACCAAUUCGUAGAAUUCAAUCAUUCAAGAAGCCCAAUAUACCUUGAGAAGAUCCUUCCAAAUCCCAAUGCCAACGAAAUCGUAUUGUGGUGUGGCAACGGGGGAGUGCCAGGAUGGCAUCAGGCCACAUGGCAAUUGGCAAACCGCAGGGCCGGCUGGCCGGCUCCAACCUCCGGAAAAUCUGCCACAUGCUGCAUGUGCAUGCGUAGCUCAAAGUCUGAAACGGUUCACCCCGUUGAAUUUGCAAACAAAAAAAGAAGAAGCGAGCAGUAGACUCACCGGGGCGGGGAACUCCUCCUUUCACCGAAUUUUUUACUAGAAAAAAGUCAAGUUUUUAUAACGAUUUACAAAUGAUUAAGUUAAAUUAGAUGCAAAAUUAGUGCAUAAAAGAUGCACCAGUAGAUCUAUACUCAAGGUAUCCUUAAGGUUGUGAGGAUAUGUAUUUUUGCAAUUUAUGAAAAACUAGCAAAUAUACUCGUGCGUUGCAACGGGAGAAAAAAGUAUCAUAAAAAAAUACUUUAUAUUUAUUUUUCUUGACAUAUAUUGGGCUGUUAUUUAUGAUCUCGUAAAGAACAUGGUUCUUUUCUUGGCAUAGCUUUUAGAGUUCUUUUUCAUCUUGAUUUUUUUCUUUUAUCUGGAAUCUUUUCUCUCCCGUUGUUUCCUGCUUUGCAAGUUUUUGUUGCUUAACAUUUUUAAUUGACUCGUUGUAUUGCACUUAUUAUUGUCGAUUUGGAUUCCAUCUGCAAUUGCUUGGUACCCAAAGAGGAAAUAUAAUACGGACCCAUGAUGUCCUGUUAUAUUAGAGAGAGAUUUUGUCUUGUGGUUUACAGAUUGGACUCUUCUCGUUUUUGCUGUCUUCUAAGUCAUGUUGCUUUUAUGUUAAUACUCUAUAUUUCGGUGGAGAUUUUGGAAGGCAGGAGCGACAAGGACUCUGGUUGUUAGAGUGCGAUUCCAUCAUGGUUUCGAUUUUGUUGGAUUUUUUUCCUUCUUUCUUCCCUCUACUGUUCGAACAUGGCUCGGACAUGGUGACGGAAGAAAUGUAUUGGCAAACUGAAAUUUUAGCUCUUUAUAGAUACUAGUAAAUGUGCCCGUGCGUUGCUACGGUGAACGCCAAAUUAUUCAUUUAAUAUUUAUAUUUUUCAACAUUUUAUAUAACAAUUAAAAUUGUAAUAGCUUGUUUUACACUUAUCUAGAUGAUUUAUAUCUCCAAUGAUCGUGUGUUCUGAUAUGUCUUGGACACAUGUUGUAGCUCGAGAGAAUACAUGUCAUAAGGCCAGUCUCAAUGGAUGUUUCAUUAGAGUUUCACGCACAUUAAAUAUUGUAAUAUGCACUAUAUUAAUAAAGAGAGAUGAUAAAAGUUUCAUGUAAGUAGAGAGAGUUUCAUUCCAAUAAAACUCUUCUGUACUGUUUUUAAAAAAAUAGAUAUAUAGAAAACUGGGUCAUGAAACCCCCAUUGAAGAUGGCCCUAGCUCCAAGUUAUUUAUGAGACAUGAAGAACCAUAAGGCAUUGUAGGAAGAAAAAACAAAGGUAAUUAGAAAAUAUUAUUUUUAAUUUAAUAUUAAACAAAGAUAGCACAACGCCUUGAUAUGAUUUUAGUUGGUUUAUAAAAAAAUUAUGCAGUUAAUAAAAUAGGUCUUAGAACUUUAAUUUUGUUUAAGCCAAAAAAUAGCCAAUUUCAUGCAAUGAAAUAUAAAUAAUUAUAAUUAGGUUUUAUAGGUGGGACCUUGCUCGUGUCUUAGCAUCUCCCCUCACAUCCAUGCUCGUCCACACAUUGGCCUUGCUCAUGUUAUCGUUGUCUUCCUGUGCCGCAUUGUUGUGGCAUUGUUGCCGUGUCUCGCCCACAAUGCCCUCUCCUCUAAAGAUGGCAGCAGACUCCGAUCUCCGGUUCUCCGUGGAGAAUUCUCUUAUUAGAGAACGGAGAUGAGAUCAAUUUACUCUAAAUGGGGAUUUAAUAAGUAAAAAAAUAGUUUCCGUCGGGUCUAGUGCGUACGGGGAUGGGAUUUGUUCUCCUGUCCUCGAUCCCCAUAAACCUGGUCGGCUAAGAAUACACUGUUUCGCAAGUAUAAGAUCCACAUCAAUUCGGCCCAUCUAAAGGCCCAUCUGUGGCUUCAGUAUAUAUAGAAACCUGUAACCUAAUUCCUCAGUUCUCGAAUCCCCCAGCCCCAGCCACUCUCGCAACCACCGGAGUCCUAGGCGCAGAUGUCGGCCGCUGCCUGGGCGCGAUUCACGCCGUCACGCGUCCUCAUCCGAAGCUUCUCCGCCCUCCCUUGCUUGCAGCAUACCGGAACCCCCCACAGCCAAGCAUCGCUAGUCACCAGUGACCACCGUGGCACUACUGCUGCCUGAUUACCUCGAUGUGAAGAAAGAUAGAAAUUGCCGUGUUGCUUGACUUCGUCUCCUUUUUCUCAGCCUGCCAGUGGACAACAGAGGCGCAUCUUGCCUUUUUUUUUUGCAUCUAUUGUCUCAUCCUAACACAAGCACUUGUAGAUUUUAUUUUUGAUUUGUUUGCGGUGAUUUCUAAAACUAAACGAUUCUAUUUCAUGUUGGUGCAAGAUGCGUUUGUGAUAAAUAUUUCCUUUUCUAGAUUGAUGAUCUGAGUAAAUUUUUUCUAACUUAUAUUGCAGGGAUGGGGAUCCCAUCGGGGAUGGAUUCCCCGCUCGGGUUUGGGGAUGGACUUUGUAAUAUAUGGUUUUUGGUUUAGUUCGUUGCUAGGUCUGAAAUCUGGAUUCGGUUUAGAGCUCUUUUUUAACUCGAUUAGGAUCUUUGGCUGAUUUGUUCUUUCCUUCUCGUCCCCGUCCAAGCCCUCCACCUCGGCUGCCGCCGACCACUCCGACUCCGCCGACGACUCCGACGAGCAGUCUGGAUUUGGAUUUGGAUGGAUUUGCAUAUUUUGAUUCAAUCUCGAUUUGGUUUUUUGCCUUACAUGUAGAUUGCAAAUUUGGAAAAAAAAACCUUCAUUAUAGAUUUGAGUUACCAGAGGAAGUCUUGUUACCUUCGGAGUGGGAGAUUGUUACGGAAGUGGGGAGAAGCCAGACGAAAAUUCCGUCCAGACGAAAUUUUUGGCUGAAAAUAUAUAUAUAUAUAUAGAGGUAUAGAUUAUCAAAAUCUACCGAAAGCUGUAUAGAGGUGUAUAUUCAUUCCUAACAACUCUGCUUGGGACACGUGAAUUUCAAACAAUUUAUACAGGAAUUUUCUAGGAAUCAAUUCAAUUUCAUAAUAAAAAAAAUGCAUGAAAGAAAAAAAAUCCACGUGUUCGCUGUGGCUGUUCGGAUCGUAGGAUUACUUAUUAUGAGUAUUUAGAAAAGAUUGGCUUUAAGUUACC